GGAAGCGUGCCGGAGUGGUCGAACGGGGCGGUCUUGAAAACCGCUAGGGAUGAUGAGUCCCUCAGAGGUUCGAAUCCUCUCGCUUCCGCCA
rnacentral:tRNA from 1 species